CAGUCGCCGCGGGAAAACGUAGGUGGCAAGCGUUGUCCGGAAUUAUUGGGCGUAAAGCGCGCGCAGGCGGAUAGGUCAGUCUGUCUUAAAAGUUCGGGGCUUAACCCCGUGAUGGGAUGGAAACUGCCAAUCUAGAGUAUCGGAGAGGAAAGUGGAAUUCCUAGUGUAGCGGUGAAAUGCGUAGAUAUUAGGAAGAACACCAGUGGCGAAGGCGGCUUUCUGGACGAAAACUGACGCUGAGGCGCGAAAGCCAGGGGAGCGAACGGGAUUAGAUACCCCUGUAGUCCCUGUCUCUUAUACA
rnacentral:rRNA from 1 species